AUUGAACGCUGGCGGCAUGCCUUACACAUGCAAGUCGAACGGUAACAGGUCUUCGGAUGCUGACGAGUGGCGAACGGGUGAGUAAUACAUCGGAACGUGCCCGAUCGUGGGGGAUAACGAGGCGAAAGCUUUGCUAAUACCGCAUACGAUCUACGGAUGAAAGCGGGGGAUCUUCGGACCUCGCGCGGACGGAGCGGCCGAUGGGAGAUUAGGUAGUUGGUGGGAUAAAAGCUUACCAAGCCGACGAUUUGUAGCUGGUCUGAGAGGAUGAUCAGCCACACUGGGACUGAGACACGGCCCAGACUCCUACGGGAGGCAGAAGUGGGGAAUUUUGGACAAUGGGCGAAAGCCUGAUCCAGCCAUGCCGCGUGCAGGAUGAAGGCCUUCGGGUUGUAAACUGCUUUUGUACGGAACGAAAAGCCUCUUUCUAAUAAAGAGGGGUCAUGACGGUACCGUAAGAAUAAGCACCGGCUAACUACGUG
rnacentral:rRNA from 1 species